ensembl:snRNA U6 U6 spliceosomal RNA
GUGCUCUCUUCAGCAACACAUAUGCUAAAAGUAGAAUGAUACAGAGAUUAGCAUGGUCCCUGCUCACGCGAGGGAUGACACGCAAAUUCAUGAGGCAUUCCAUAUUUUU